GUUCCAGUUUAAUUAUGUUCUUGUAAAUUUUUAAUUUUUUUUGUGUUGGGAAGUUUGCUCCAGGAUUUAGAAAUUUCAGAAUGAGAGACCUAGUUGGCUGACAACCCAAAUGCUAAUGGUAUGACGAAGGAGGGGAGUGAGCAAGCAGACAGAGCCCGAGAAGUAAAGUUCUUAGAAAACAUUUAGGGUUUGGGGUUAUGGAGAUAGGAAGAGACAAUGCCAUAAAUGAUGAAUAUUUCAAACUAUGGUGCUGAAGGACCGGGGCCAGGAGAGGUCAGUAAGUUUGAGUGAUCUGGACUUGGUGGAAGAUAGAAUUUGGCGAGCAGAGGUUUUUGUUUUCCUCAUUCGUACAUGGGACGUGGGCAUUGCUGUCUAGGCCAGCGUUUAUUUGCCUAUGCCUAAUUGCCCUGAGGGCUGUUAAGGGUCAGCCACAUUGCUGUUGGUCUGGAAUAACAUGGAGCCCAGACCAGGUAAGGAUGGAAGGUAAGGAUUGUUGGAAAUGAGACAGGUUACCAGGGAGGUGGGCAUGGAGAUGGGAGCAGAGAUUUGCAAGGUCUGCAAAGGGUGAGUUGCGAUUCUAUGGAGAACUUUGUGGCAGUUCUGAAAGGAAGACCUUUGAAAGGAGACCUUACAAGGCCUGCCUUGUAAUUAAGUACAAGUUCUUGCAUAAAAGGAACUAUUUACAUAACCAAGUGAAGAAGGGAAGAUUGGUGGGAACCAAUUUAGUGGCAUUGACGAUGACAAAUUCCUUAUUGAUCUUCUUGAGAACUCUUAGCUCCUCAAAUCACAGGCUGUUUCUCUGCCACAUUUGCUGCUCGCAAGCAAGCAUGGGAGAGAACUAGCCUCUGCAGUUCAAGGAGCAUCUCCUCACCAACUCUGUGAACUCUGCUUGCGUUAACAACCUUUCCCUGGUCACGCCCUACCCAUGAGUGGAUUUCCUCAGACAUUUUGGAGCCUUCCAGAGAAGAGUGGGUGCGGCCAAUAAUGAAGCGGGAGAAGCAGGUCCUCCUACAUUGGGGUUAUUGUCCUGACAGUUAUGAUACAUGGAUUCCAGCCAGCGAAAUUGAGGCAUCGGUUGAGGAUCCCCCACCGACUGAGCGGCCCCGGAAGGU